GGAUUGUGGCUCCGUGGUAGAGCGCUCACCUAGCACGUGUGAGGCCCUGAGUUCAAUCCUCAGCACCA
rnacentral:tRNA from 1 species